GACGAACGCUGGCGGCGUGCUUAACACAUGCAAGUCGAACGAAGAGCGAUGGAAGCUUGCUUCUAUCAAUCUUAGUGGCGAACGGGUGAGUAACGCGUAAUCAACCUGCCCUUCAGAGGGGGACAACAGUUGGAAACGACUGCUAAUACCGCAUACGAUCUAAUCUCGGCAUCGAGGAUAGAUGAAAGGUCGCCUCUACAUGUAAGCUAUCACUGAAGGAGGGGAUUGCGUCUGAUUAGCUAGUUGGAGGGGUAACGGCCCACCAAGGCGAUGAUCAGUAGCCGGUCUGAGAGGAUGAACGGCCACAUUGGGACUGAGACACGGCCCAGACUCCUACGGGAGGCAGCAGUGGGGAAUCUUCCGCAAUGGACGAAAGUCUGACGGAGCAACGCCGCGUGAGUGAUGACGGCCUUCGGGUUGUAAAGCUCUGUUAAUCGGGACGAAAGGCCUUCUUGCGAAUAGUGAGAAGGAUUGACGGUACCGGAAUAGAAAGCCACGGCUAACUACGUG
rnacentral:rRNA from 1 species